UUCCGUAGGGGGACCUGCGGAGGGAUCAUUACCGAGUUUACAACUCCCAAACCCCUGUGAACAUACCACUUGUUGCCUCGGCGGAUCAGCCCGCUCCCGGUAAAACGGGACGGCCCGCCAGAGGACCCCUAAACUCUGUUUCUAUAUGUAACUUCUGAGUAAAACCAUAAAUAAAUCAAAACUUUCAACAACGGAUCUCUUGGUUCUGGCAUCGAUGAAGAACGCAGCAAAAUGCGAUAAGUAAUGUGAAUUGCAGAAUUCAGUGAAUCAUCGAAUCUUUGAACGCACAUUGCGCCCGCCAGUAUUCUGGCGGGCAUGCCUGUUCGAGCGUCAUUUCAACCCUCAAGCACAGCUUGGUGUUGGGACUCGCGUUAAUUCGCGUUCCCCAAAUUGAUUGGCGGUCACGUCGAGCUUCCAUAGCGUAGUAGUAAAACCCUCGUUACUGGUAAUCGUCGCGGCCACGCCGUUAAACCCCAACUUCUGAAUGUUGACCUCGGAUCAGGUAGGAAUACCCGCUGAACUUAAGCAUAUCAAUAGUCGGAGGAA
rnacentral:rRNA from 1 species